CACGCCGUAAACUAUGAUUACUCGUUUUCAGCGAUAUACUGUUGGAGACUAAGCGAAAGUGAUAAGUAAUCCACCUGGGGAGUACGAUCGCAAGGUUGAAACUCAAAGGAAUUGACGGGGGCCCGCACAAGCGGUGGAGCAUGUGGUUUAAUUCGAUGAUACGCGAGGAACCUUACCAGGGCUUAAAUGCAGAACGCAUGAAGUGGAAACAUUUCAGUCUUCGGACGGUCUGCAAGGUGC
rnacentral:rRNA from 1 species